rnacentral:rRNA from 1 species
AGGACGAACGCUGGCGGCGUGCUUAACACAUGCAAGUCGAGCGACGCUCCUCCUUCGGGAGGAUGACGGAGCGACGAACGGGUGAGUAACACGUGGGCAACCUGCCCCUAGCUCUGGGAUAACCCCGGGAAAUCGGGACUAAUACCGGAUAUGACCUCGGAAGACAUCUUCUGAGGUGGAAAAGGUUUACUGGCUAGGGAUGGGCCCGCGGCCUAUCAGCUUGUUGGUGGGGUAACGGCCCACCAAGGCGACGACGGGUAGCCGGCCUGAGAGGGCGACCGGCCACGACUGGGACUGAGACACGGCCCAGACUCCUACGGGAGGCAGCAGUGGGGAAUAUUGCACAAUGGGCGAAAGCCUGAUGCAGCGACGCCGCGUGAGGGAUGGAAUGCCUUCGGGUUGUAAACCUCUUUCAGCAGGGACGAAGCGCAAGUGACGGUACCUGCAGAGAAGCACCGGCAACUACGUGCCAGCAGCC